rnacentral:rRNA from 1 species
CCUACGGGUGGCAGCAGUAGGGAAUCUUCCGCAAUGGACGAAAGUCUGACGGAGCAACGCCGCGUGAGCGAAGAAGGCCUUCGGGUCGUAAAGCUCUGUUGUUAGGGAAGAACAAGUACCGGAGUAACUGCCGGUACCGUGACGGUACCUAACCAGAAAGCCACGGCUAACUACGUGCCAGCAGACGCGGUAAUACGUAGGUGGCAAGCGUUGUCCGGAAUUAUUGGGCGUAAAGCGCGCGCAGGCGGUUCCUUAAGUCUGAUUUGAAAGCCCACGGCUUAACCGUGGGGGGUAAUUAGAAACAGGGGAACUUGGGGGCAGAAGAGGAGAGCGGAAAUUCACGGGGGGCGGUGAAAUGCGGAAAGGUGUGGAGGAACACCAGUGGCGGAGGCGGCUCUCGUGUCUGUAACUGACGCUGAGGCGCGAAAGCGUGGGGAGCAAACAGGAUUAGAUACCCUGGUAGUC